UGAGGGAUAUUGGUCAAUCGGGGGGAAAACCCUGAACCAGCAACGCCGCGUGAGGGAAGACGGUUUUCGGAUUGUAAACCUCUGUCCUCUGUGAAGAUGAUGACGGUAGCAGAGGAGGAAGCUCCGGCUAACUACGUGCC
rnacentral:rRNA from 1 species